rnacentral:lncRNA from 1 species
UCAGCCUUCCAAUUCUCUGGUUCUUUCUUCAGAGACAACUGUGUCUAGUUUAGUCUAGUAUUUUAAAGCAUUUACCAUUGGGUUCUCCCCCAAACAGUAAUGACUAGUUGUUAUGUACUCUGACAAAAACAAAGCAUAGAGAAGUCUCUACUAAACAUUUAUUUGUUUUUUCAAAACAGAAUAAAGUUGUAGAGUGACAACCUUACUAACGAUCAAAGAAAGUAUUAAAACAAUCAUGUAGUAAUCUCUUUUCUUUUUUAGGAGACUAGUCAAUUCUAGCAAGGAUGUAUGUGAAAUAGAUAUUUUCAUAUAUUACGGGGGUCAGUAUAAAUUAGUACAAUAUUAAGAAGCAAUUUAAGAAAUAUGUAUCAGGAACCUCUACCUGGUAGUUUAAGCUCAUGAAACUUAUGGAACACAGGCAAUACUUUGGAAAUAACAUAAAGUUUGAAAACAAAAUAUAAAUUAUAUAUGCAGAAUGAAUUAUUACUAUGGAACAUAAACUGAAACAAGAUGUGAACAGUAUUUGGUUUUCCCGUUACCAAAGUCCCAAGUGAAAGUCACGGUAAGUGUGUGAGCUCUGACUGGCUACCACAGUGGUCCUAAGGAGUAGGUGCUCUAGCCCAGUGCUACUCCAAGUGCGGGCUGGGAGCCAGAUGCUGGUGUGGAAUAACGUAGCACCAAUCAGCAGACUGGCAUUUUGAGUAGUGCUGCUUAGCAAUGGUAAUAUGCUAAGCACUGUUAAGAAUCUGGGGAGGUUUUGUGAAAAAACUAAUGGAGGUCCAAGAAACUUUGAGUGAGGGUCAGGGAAAGAGGGUUUCUUUUAGGUCUGUAGGGAUUUGAUAAUAGGCUUCUAUUAACCUUGUGUGGCAGCCGUAGGCCACAUCUGGAGAUGGGGAAGGAUGAAAAGAGUUUGCGCUGCCCUCUGUCCCAGCAGAUCUUCUCCCCACGCCAUUUAUGACUCAGAGCCGGCUUAGUGGAUUGAUGGUUACCCAGGCAACAGAUGUUGGAUGGCUCUCAUCAAUAGUUCUGCUCUGUGUGUGACAACUUGGUUAGGCGCGCUGGGCUUUGCAAUGUUCUUCUGAAACAGUUGAGCCUCUCAUCUGGGAUUCGCUUCCAGUUUCAUCACAGAAAGCUGAUCCCAAAGUUACACAUAUGGCCUGAAUGCACCUCCGCUUCUGUUCCCUAAUAAA